UACGUAGGGUGCGAGCGUUGUCCGGAAUUAUUGGGCGUAAAGAGCUUGUAGGCGGUUUGUCGCGUCUGCUGUGAAAAUCCGGGGCUCAACCCCGGACUUGCAGUGGGUACGGGCAGACUAGAGUGUGGUAGGGGAGAGUGGAAUUCCUGGUGUAGCGGUGAAAUGCGCAGAUAUCAGGAAGAACACCCGUGGCGAAGGCGGCUCUCUGGAACGCAACUGACGCUGAGACGCGAAAGCGUGGGGAGCAAACAGG
rnacentral:rRNA from 1 species